GGUUCGUUAGGUCAGAGGUAGACCGCCGUCCUGUCAAGACGGAAGCGAGGGGAUCGUUACCCCUACGAACCGCCA
rnacentral:tRNA from 1 species